GGCCCUGUAGCGCAAUGGAUAGCACGUUGGACUUCUAAUCCGAUGGUCGUUGGAUUCGAAUCCAACCUGGGUUG